rnacentral:rRNA from 1 species
GAUGAACGCUAGCGACAGGCAUAACACACGCAAGUCGAGGGGCAGCGGGGGCGUAGCAAUAUGCCUGCCGGCGACCGGCGCACGGGUGAGUAACACGUAUGUAACCUGCCCUAUGCAGGGGGAUAACCCGGAGAAAUCCGGCCUAAUACCGCGUAACACCUUAGGGGAGCAUUCUCUUGAGGUUAAAGGAGAGAUCCGGCAUAGGAUGGACAUGCGUCGCAUUAGGUAGACGGCGGGGUAACGGCCCACCGUGCCGACGAUGCGUAGGGGUUCUGAGAGGAAGGCCCCCCACACUGGUACUGAGACACGGACCAGACUCCUACUGGAGGCAGCAGUGAGGAAUAUUGGUCUAUGGCCGAGAGGCUGAACCAGCCAAGUCGCGUGAGGGAAGAAUGUCCUAAGGAUUGUAAACCUCUUUUGUCGGGGAGCAAAAAGGCUCUGCGGAGUCGUAUUGAGAGUACCCGAAGAAAAAACAUCUGCUAACUCCGUGCCAACAGCCGCGGUAAUAGGGAGGAUGCGAGGGUUAUCCGGGAUUAUUGGGUUUAAAGGGUGCGCAGGCGGCGUGUCAAGCAAACGGUAAAAAUAGCGGGGCUCAACCCCCGUCGAGCCCGUUUGAACUGGCGCGCUUGAGUUCAGGCGAGGUAGGCGGAAUUCGUGGUGUAGCGGUGAAAUGCAUAGAUAUCACGAAGAACUCCGAUUGCGAAGGCAGCUUACCAGUCUGCGACUGACGCUCAGGCACGAAAGUGUGGGUAUCGAACAGGAUUAGAUACCCUGGUAGUCCACACAGUAAACGAUGAGCGCUAGGUGUCCGGGUCGCAUGAGACUUGGGUGCCCGAGCGAAAGCGUUAAGCGCUCCACCUGGGGAGUACGCCGGCAACGGUGAAACUCAAAGGAAUUGACGGGGGCCCGCACAAGCGGAGGAACAUGUGGUUUAAUUCGAUGAUACGCGAGGAACCUUACCCGGGCUCAAACGACUCAGGAAUAUAUUGGAAACGAUGUAGCCAGCAAUGGUCUGAGUCGAGGUGCUGCAUGGUUGUCGUCAGCUCGUGCCGUGAGGUGUCGGCUUAAGUGCCAUAACGAGCGCAACCCCUACCGCCAGUUGCCAACGGGUAAAGCCGGGAACUCUGGCGGGACUGCCGGCGCAAGCUGCGAGGAAGGCGGGGAUGACGUCAAAUCAGCACGGCCCUUACGUCCGGGGCGACACACGUGUUACAAUGGCAGGUACAGCGGGAAGCCACCUGGUGACAGGGAGCGGAACCCGAAAGCCUGUCUCAGUUCGGAUUGGAGUCUGCAACUCGACUCCAUGAAGCUGGAUUCGCUAGUAAUCGCGCAUCAGCCAUGGCGCGGUGAAUACGUUCCCGGGCCUUGCACACACCGCCCGUCA